UACGGGGGGGGCAAGCGUUGUUCGGAAUUCUGGGCGUAAAGGGCGCGUAGGCGGUCGUGACAAGUCACUUGUGAAAUCUCCGGGCUUAACUCGGAACGGUCAAGUGAUACUGUCGGACUAGAGUACAGAAGGGGCAACUGGAAUUCUCGGUGUAGCGGUGAAAUGCGUAGAUAUCGAGAGGAACACCUGCGGCGAAGGCGGGUUGCUGGGCUGAUACUGACGCUGAGGCGCGAAAGCCCAGGGGA
rnacentral:rRNA from 1 species